UAAAUACUUAAAUUAUUAGGUGUUACUAUGAAAAUAGUAAGUAAAAGGGAAAGUGGUGAAAAUCCACUGCAGCCCACCGUUACUGUAAUGUUGAUGAAACCGUAUUUUAAGCCACUGGAUGAAAAUAUAUCUGGGAAGGCAAGAAAGUAAAAUGAAACUAAGCCAGGAAACCUGCCUAAUAUUUGUCUAUUCU
rnacentral:ncRNA from 2 species